UACGUAGGGUGCGAGCGUUGUCCGGAAUUAUUGGGCGUAAAGAGCUCGUAGGCGGUGUGUCACGUCGGCCGUGAAAACCUGCAGCUUAACUGUGGGCGUGCGGUCGAUACGGGCAUCACUGGAGUUCGGCAGGGGAGACUGGAAUUCCUGGUGUAGCGGUGAAAUGCGCAGAUAUCAGGAGGAACGCCGGUGGCGAAGGCGGGUCUCUGGGCCGAUACUGACGCUGAGGAGCGAAAGCGUGGGGAGCGAACAGG
rnacentral:rRNA from 1 species